rnacentral:rRNA from 1 species
UAGGGAAUCUUCCACAAUGGGCGGCAAGCCUGAUGGAGCAACACCGCGUGAGUGAAGAAGGGUUUCGGCUCGUAAAGCUCUGUUGUUGGAGAAGAACGUGCGUGAGAGUAACUGUUCAUGCAGUGACGGUAUCCAACCAGAAAGUCACGGCUAACUACGUGCC